rnacentral:sRNA from 1 species
AUAAAAAAAUUGAAUUCAAAUUCAAAUUAAUAUUUGAAUUUAAAUUCAAAUUUGAAUCGGGUAUAUAAACUUUUGACUUAUAAACUUUGGGUCUAUAAACUUUAGGUGUAUAAACUUUAGAUGUAUAAAAAUACUAUAUAGAAAAAAUAUUUGAAUUCAAAUUUAAAUUUGAAUCGGAUAUAUAAACUUUUGACUUAUAAACUUUGGAUCUGUAAUAUUUAAGUGUAUAAACUUUAGAUGUGUAAACUUUAGGUGUGUAAACUUUUGGUGCAUAAAUUUUCUAAAAUAUGAAAGUAAUGCGGUGUCAAAAAAGGAAAGUGGAGGGAGGGGGGAUUGAUCGCCCGGAGCGCUUGAUCGCUCGUUAGGAUUCUCGUUUUACUUUGGGCCACUUUUUAUUACCGAUGUUUCGCUUUGGACCACCUUAGGACCAAUGUUUUCACUUUGGACCGGAUAUUUUUACCUUUGUUUCACAUUGGACCACCCUCACUCUUUUAUCCAUCUACAUCCAACUUGUAAUAUGUCGAAGAAAUAGUCUUACAUAUAGCUGUGGCAGUUCAUUGACGAGUAGGAGACGGCGUAAUCGAGAUCGUUCAUAUGCUUGAGAAGAGAGUUGGGUGGUCCAAAGUGAAACAAAUGUAAGUUUACCCAGUCCAAAGUAAAAAUAUUGCUUAAAUGGUGGUCCAAAGUGAAACAUAGGUAACAAAAGGUGGCCCGAAGUGAAAUUUACUCAACUUUUGAAUACCUUUUCUAUUGUACAUAAAAAAGAGUUGUGGUGAUUAAGUGUUUCUUAUUUGGUACUGGUAUAGUAUAUCUCCUAACCAGAAUCAGCACCAAUCUUUAACCUCGCAUUGCUAACAUUUGGGCUUUGGCUGACUGGAAAAAUGUUUUUGCGUCUCAUUUGUACUAUCAAAAGAUAUAGAGGAUCACAUCAGGAAUAAAAGGAAAAUCGAAAGUAUGAUUUGGCUGCAAGUCCAUUAACAUAAGGAUUUCAAGAAUUAGGUGGAGUCGCAAUUGUUUAAAUCUUUGCUGAUAAAUUGAAGUUCACAAAGAAGAAACUGUUUCUGUCUACCAAUUUUUACUCUUAUAUUCAGUCCUCUCAUUUUCCUGUACUAACCAUGAUUAACACGCCUGAAACAAUUGAGACUAUCAAUUGGUUCUUUCAAGUUUUUGCAAACUGUUGUCUCAAAUAUUCAAUGAGGCAAAUUAUGAUGGUGCAAUGAACAUUGGUUUCUAAAGUAUGUAAAGAAUAUGCUCAUGAUAAUCUUUGCAUUGUGUACUUGUGUUGUGAACUAUUGCAAAAAGUACAUCUUUAUAUCACUAAAAGAAUUUUAAGGUUGCUGUUGCAUAAAGAGAUUGAGUACUCUGUGUUGACUUGCUGAUAGAAUUUAUCUACCAUUUAAAUCCUUAAGAUGAAUUGAUCUCUCACUUUUCUCCUUUUUUUUGUAGGGUACAUGGCGGAGCUAAACACUAUGCAAACGGUGGUUUAUUUUGCUGUGUCUUAAACAUAGUAGUGAUAUCUAGCAACUAGCAAGGGACUACUACAAUCUUUCAGUAUCCAAGCACAUAGUUAAACAAAAACUUACAGAUAGCAACACAAACUAAAAGAAUUGAAUUGGGAAGGGAAUACCAUAGACAUCUAUGGAGUAUUAAUAUAGAACACACAAACAAGAGUUUAAUUAGGUGCUUAACUAUAAGCAAGAAAGGGACAUGUGGUGGAAUUCUAUUAUGAGAUAACUGAUGCAUAGUACUUGUAACACCAUGCGCCUUAAUUUAGUAUUUUUGAAAAAUAAUUAAAAGUCAGGAAAAUUUAACUUUUCAAGCUGUUGCACGGAUGAACAAGGACCAUGGUAUUCCAGACAUACAUAUAUAGACACACAUUAGGUCCUGUUCUUUUCUCCAACAAGAGUUGGAUGAAAAUUAAGAUUUUCGUGGUACGCGUUUCAAACUGCUAAACGGUGCGUUUCGUGCGAAAACUUUCUAUAUAAAAGUUGCUCUAAAAUAUCAUAUUAAUCUAUUUUUCAAGUUUGUAAUAAUUAAAACUCAAUCAAUCAUACGUUAAUACCACCUCGUUUUGUGUAAAAAACUUAAUCUUCAUCUUCAUCUUCAUUUUCAGAAGAAAAGAAGAGUUAGCGAUAGCGACGCUCCUAAUUCUUACGGUGCUAACGGUUGACGGUCGUUAAGUGUAAACUUUAACCAUCAACUGCUAUAUAAAAGAAUAUAAAAUAUAUCAUCAAACUUACUUGUAGGGGUUUACUACUAACCAUUAUCACUCGUAUUGGUAAAUAUGAGUAUGCAGGUGAUUUCUAAAUGAAAACACACCCGUCUUGCGACGAAAUGCAUCUCCGACCAAUCGUACACGAGCGCUAGGAUUGGAGGGUCCACAUGACAGUCAAAACCGAUAUAAAAUGGGCUUAUCCACGAUGCACUAAUAUAGGGACCCGCCAGUCGGCCUCCUAGCCGAAGAAGCAGCUCGGAAGUGGGGCCCACAGUUUGGCCAAACUAGGGGCUCAGCCGAAUCUUCACUGCCACCUCCCAUCCUGACCUUCCUUAUGUAGGCUCCAGAUGCACUCCUAGUGGUGGUUAUGUUGGUAACCUUCAUAGCACACUAUAAAAGGACAAGAAACUCUCAUUUCCAAUACAAGACUUAAGUGGAGUAUAACUCACAUCCAUAUUUUAAGGCAUCACCUUAGUAUGUGGAAUUAGGUAGAAAGUGAUGGGAAGCUCUGGAAGAAAUGCCCCCAAAUAUCGGAGUUCUCUUUGGGAAGUUCAGAAGGAGUGUCAGGUUUGUUGACAUUCUUCCACUCGAGUUCCGGAGAAGCAUUGGAGUUGUCAGCCUUCUUCUGUUGCUUGACCUCAGCGAAUGCUUGUUUUAAUAAAGUAAGUAUUUGAGAUCUCCAUAUAGUAUUUAAUUAUUUGCUUGAGUGAGAUAUAGUUACAUCGUUACGGGUUCGUCGCUUAGUUCAAUUAUUAUGUGCUCUAGUAUUAGGACUCUGAGUAAAGAAUGAAGUUUCUGCGCGAGGCUAGAGUAAUUAUCAAUAACUUAGGCGCGGUGUCUAGGUUAGUGGUUUCCUUUAUUUGUUGUGUGCUCCAUGCAAAGUGAGGUAUGCGGCAGGUGGUGACAACCUUGUCCAUCUUUUAUAUCCCUCCAUGUUUACGUACAUUGACUCAGUUUGUCAAACCAGGAGAGUGCUAGUGCUCAAAGCAAUUGAUAGAGUUUUACCUUUAACUCAAGUAUAGUACAUUAACCCGUAAGAAUCUUCUUUAGCCUUAGCCUACCAUUAGGUGCUGUCCUUGGAUAGAAUCCUAUUAUUAGAUAUGCACACAAUCCCUAUGAUUUGAUACCUUUGGAAUACUCUAAGUUGAAGUGCUACAGCGGUAUCUGUGCGCUUCCGAUUUUUAUUUUACUAUAUCAAAUACUAACAAGCAUUUCUGACGCUGUUGCCAUGGAACGGUUGCUAUAUCAUCUUCAAACCUGAUUCAUCCUCAUAUCUUUUCUUUGUUGUCCUUCCUUUCUCUUCUUACCUAGCACGGAGCACCUUUCUAUUCAAAACCUUUAUGCUCCAAGGACCGAGUUCUGUGAGCCACCUUUUUCUUCAAACAUAUCUGUUCAUCUGGUAUGAACUCCGUCCUAGCUUAAGAGCCAUGGUUCGGGAAUAAUCCUUCUCAGGAUGUGAAAGCGAAAAUCCCUACCAUCAUUUGCGUGAGUUUGAGCAAUUGUGCUUAUGCCUGACAAUAACGGACAUGACAUAAGAAACCUUAAAGUGGAAAUUGUUUCACUUCUCUCUUACAGAGGGGGCGAAGCAAUGGUAUACUCAUACCAUGAGAAAACUGCAUAUUGAUGGGACAAAUUAAAAAGCAUAUUAUGCCUUGCUUUCUUCCUGUUAACCCGUGUAGUCUCUCUACGUGGAGGUUCACGCGAAAGAAUCCAUUGGUGCAGCCUAUGCUCGUUUCUCCUUGUUAACUCAAGACGACACAGACUUUUCUUUACCGAUCAUGUGUUGUUACAACACUUCCACUCGGGUUUAGACAAGAUGUCUGCCAUGUAUCUCGAUACUUCUGCUGUAGGUUCGUGCGCACACAAAACGAUGUCUGUGGACACCCCGAGUAUUAUACCAUCCAGUGUCCAACGCGAACACCACAUACUAUUGGAGAAGUG